rnacentral:rRNA from 1 species
UACAGAGACUGCAAGCGUUGUUCGGAUUCACUGGGCGUAAAGGGUGCGUAGGCGGUCGGGUAAGUCUGAUGUGAAAUCUCACAGCUUAACUGUGAAACUGCAUUGGAUACUAUCCGGCUCGAGGAAUGGAGGGGAGACUGGAAUACUUGGUGUAGCAGUGAAAUGCGUAGAUAUCAAGUGGAACACCAGUGGCGAAGGCGAGUCUCUGGACAUUUCCUGACGCUGAGGCACGAAAGCCAGGGGAGCAAACGGG